AACCCAUUAAUUGAAUUUUAGCUUUAUUUUUGCUCUAUUAAUAAGCAUCAGUAACAGUUUUGAUUUUUUAAAAGUAUAACGAUUUUGGAUGUUAUGGUAAAUUAUAACAUACAAUCCUAUUGCGGACCAAAAUCCGUUUGUCAAGAAAAAAAAAAUGAAAAAUUGUGAAAUUAUUUAUGGUGAUCUAAUCUCAGACAUUUACAUAUGUUAAGAUCUAUAGAAAAAUCUAUAGUUGUCAUGUAUAUAAUUUAUAUUAAAACGAUUUAUUUGUCAUAGACUUUUUUUAAAGAAGAUUCUUUUGAAUA
rnacentral:lncRNA from 1 species